CUUCAUCCUUUGGAAAAUAGCUCUGCUAGUCAGCACGGCACUGAUAAUAACACUCAAUCCAGGUUCAGUUAAAACAAUGUCAGAUGCACUUCUCGCAGCAUCUGUAGCAUCAGCAACAGCAAUUCCAAUANNCGCCUUCUUCAAAGCAGGUGCAUCAUUAACACCAUCACCAGUCAUUCCAACAAUGUGCUUCCUUUCUUGCAACUUCUUCACGAUUUCAUAUUUGUGCUCUGGAAAC
rnacentral:misc_RNA from 1 species